AAAAAUGAAAGGUACAUUGCAAAUGCAGAAUCAGAAAAAAAAAAAAAAGAAAAAAAAAGGCCUGAACACCUAACAAUAACCUUUCUCUUUUCUACUGGACCUUGUAGUUGAUCACCGAAUGUGGAAUCUGAUAUCCUUAUUCUUUGGAUUUUGAGUCUUCAGUGCAAUUUCAGAUUAAACACGAUAGGCGAGGAGACUACAGUCCUGCACGUCUCUUCUUAUUAUCCAAACGAUCCUCUCGUCCUCAAAUUUGAUGCUCUUCUCCCAUAAACUCCUCCGAUUCGGUUCCCUCCUCCGGCAAUGGCUUCUCCAGUAAUUUUUGCACUAUAGAAGGACCGGAGACUAUAGGAUUUUGUGCAGAUGCAACUUCAGGAAAUUCAAGAUGAUAUAAGGAGUAGACGCGAUAAUAUCUUUUUGCUAUUUCUCCAUUUAUUCAUGUUUUAAAUUUAAAUUCCUGCGUUCUAUUUCAGCGUUUGUGAUUAGGUGAGGAGAACACUUUUAAAGUUCUGUUUCCUUGUCUAUCUUGUGCUCAAGCAAGCUUUCUACAGAUCUCCCCAUUUUUCCCUCUUCACUUACUCAACUCUGCUGCAUGUCAUUAUCAAUUUCUGCAUUCCCAACACUUGAUGAUGUUAUGUUUUUCUAUUAUUGUAAACUAAUCUAUUUUCCUCCAUUCUGUCUCACAACACCACACAAAGAACAAGUAUUAUUUUGCACGCGACCAACCUACACUAUGAAAUACAGAAAAGGAUGACCGAGGAGGAUUAAGAUAGAUGGUGAAGGAAUGAUUACCUGAAUUACAAAGCAACAAGUAUACGUGCUUAAGUCAUCACAAACAAACCAUUCACAAGGUGAUGAGUGAAGUGACUGUAGGGACUUUGCUGCCUUCUGUUUUUCCUCCUCCCCAGCUGCAACCACUGCAGUCAUUGUUGAUGCUGCCACUGCUGCAGCCACCUCUGAUUUGUAUACUCGAGAGCUACAAGAUGAAUAGACUUUUGUGCGUGAUUGGACGUAAGAUGCUGCUGAUGCUGCAAUCUCAUAAACAGACGAGGGAAGUGCGCGCUUCUUCUGCUUGGAGUCCUCAUCUUCCUCCAAUUUGGAUUUGACAAGGGAAGCAACAGGUAAAUAUGUAGAGUCCUUGACAAGUUUUGCUUUUACAGCAGCUGCCUCUGCUUUCUUUUCCAAGGAAGACGUUACAAAUCUUAGCCCAUAGUAUCUUCUCAAAUCCAUGGCCUGCAAAUUGAUAGAUGAAGUACUUAUGUGAACUAGAUAAUUUUAUCUGCAUGUUUGUUUGAAGCUUUAUUUCUUCGGGAAGGUUGGGAAACUACUGAGGCUUAUGCUUUCUUUGGAUCAAACAAUGAAUGAGAAACGAACGGAGAGGGAAAUUUUCUUGAAGCUGCUUGACUAAUAUACUUGCCUUUCUUGUCCU